UACAGUUGAAAAGGAACAGUUGUGCUUUCAUGGUGUGCUUCUGUUUGUUGUCAAACAGCAGCUGAUAGUUCAUCAAAUUAGCCGACUUUUUAGUGUUGGGGAAACAUUCCCUUACCUUCCUCAGCCUUGCCUUGCAAAUCUCUCACCAAAAUUACUGGACCUUUGGAACUCAUAGUAACAUGUGUGCAGGAGACGGUUCUUGCUUUGGAUACCAGAUUCCACAGAACAUCACCCACCUAUGAAAAUGUGAACAGAGCCUUGCGUGCACUGCGGCUGCCCAAGUUCAUCACCAGGCCGUCUCCCAGGCCAGCGCUGGCUUACUGUGCCACCUCUUCUACAAAGCCUCUUGACUCACCCACCGAAAAUACCUCUUUUUCCUCUCACUGCAUUCUGCUUGUAUCAUUUAAAAAUAACCAUCUGAAUGGAGAUUAUCUAUGCUCAAGAGUCCUUUAAAAGUGGUAAAAUUAUCAAGUGAUGGGGAUCUAUCAAAAUCAUUGAAACUUGCACUUGAGGUUGCAAAUGAUAUUGCAUCAGUGAAUUAACUUUUACUAAUUAUCUUCAUCUCUCUUCAGAAUGUACAAAAAAUAAUGGAAAUAUAGUAGAAUAUUAUUUGGGAGUCUAAAUACUAGGAGCAUCCAAACAUUGGAAGUAUUUAAAAAAGAUCUCAUCAGUUUGAAGCAGAUGAUUUUGCAAGAAUGUAAGGCAUGUAGUGAUGUGAAUGACUGGUCACUCAGCCCAGCUCAUGGUGUCUUCAAAAGGGAGGUACAGUCAUAAGGAACCUAUUAAAAAAGACUACCAGAGGCUAUUUCAUGUUGUAAAAAAUCUCA